CGAUUUGCCACAGAGUUGGCAGUGGGCUGACAUGAAAGCACUGCUCGUCGAGUUGGGCCUAGCAAUAUGGCAGCGCACGUUCGGUAAGGAAUCUCAUCAAGUGCUGCUACGAGGACCAUGUGCUCUCUGCCCCAUUGCCUCGAGUGCACUGCAGGGUGAAGGCUUUUGGAAAGCUGGGGAUUCUCAUUGCACGCCGGCUCCUACCUAAAAGCUUUCCUGGUUUUGCACAGAUGCCGAACUCUUGCACCUCCUGUUCUUGGUCUGAAUUUUGGGCUCUGAGAACUGUGGAAAAGCUGAAUGCUAUCAAGGAAGAAAUGCUGUCAGGUAGCAGUGAGUUGGAGCUGGGGGAAUUUUCUGGAUCGGUUCGUGAAGCGAAAGGAUUCUUUCUCUUUAAAAAUAGAAUGACAAUAGCACCCGGCCCUGUAAUGACUUCUCUGAAAGUUAAAACAACUCAGAGGCAGUUGCUCUGCUUCCACCGGGCUGCCAGCAUGGAAACGAGACCACUUCUUGCGGGAUGGGGGUAUGUGUUUAUUGCGCUGCUGUCUGCACACAAAAACUGCUCUUUCUUAACUCGCUGCACCGUUAGCGAUACGCCGCUGGUGUUGGCCAUGGCUCUUUCAGUGCUGUGUAACCACCAGCGAUUCUGCCCAGGGAAGUAGUUAGGAGAAAAAGGAAAAAAAAAACCCAAAAAACAACAAACCCGCUGAUCUCCUGCUUUCUUUUAUUUGUUUUAAAGUUGGUUUUGUUUCACCGAGGUUUUGAAGGAAACUGUAGCAACAGUGCUAAUGGUGUCGCAAA